rnacentral:rRNA from 1 species
GAAGAAAACAGGGGUUCUAUUGAAUUUCAAGUAUUCAGUCCCACCAAUAAGAUACGGAGACUUGCUUCACAUUUGGAAUUACACAAAAAAAAUGAUUUUUCAUCGGAAAGAGGUCUACGAAGACUUUAUGCUGAAUUUUACAGCAAAAAGGAGGGCUGGGAUUUUCUUUUUAAUAAUGAUGGUUGA